rnacentral:rRNA from 1 species
AGAGUUUGAUCCUGGCUCAGAUUGAACGCUGGCGGCAUGCUUUACACAUGCAAGUCGAACGGCAGCGGGGGCUUCGGCCUGCCGGCGAGUGGCGAACGGGUGAGUAAUGCACCGGAACGUGCCCAGUCAUGGGGGAUAACUACGCGAAAGCGUAGCUAAUACCGCAUACGCCCUGAGGGGGAAAGCGGGGGAUCGCAAGACCUCGCGUGAUUGGAGCGGCCGAUGUCGGAUUAGCUGGUUGGUGGGGUAAAGGCCUACCAAGGCGACGAUCCGUAGCGGGUCUGAGACGAUGAUCCGCCACACUGGGACUGAGACACGGCCCAGACUCCUACGGGAGGCAGCAGUGGGGAAUUUUGGACAAUGGGGGCAACCCUGAUCCAGCCAUGCCGCGUGAGUGAAGAAGGCCUUCGGGUUG